rnacentral:rRNA from 1 species
AGCAGCCGCGGUAAUUCCAGCUCCAAUAGCGUAUAUUAAAGUUGUUGCAGUUAAAAAGCUCGUAGUUGAAUUUCGAGAUCAAAUUGUUGGUCGUGCCUUGGUACGUACUGGCAUUAUUGGUUUCUCCCUUCUGAAGAACCAUGAUGUCAUUAAUUUGGUGUCAUGGGGAAUCAAGACUGUUACUUUGAAAAAAUUGAGUGUUUAAAGCAGGCUCGCGCUUGAAUACAUUAGCAUGGAAUAAUGAAAUAGGACGUUUAAUUCUAUUUUGUUGGUUUCUAGGAUUGACGUAAUGAUUAAUAGGGAUAGUUGGGGGCAUUAGUAUUCAAUUGUCAGAGGUGAAAUUCUUGGAUUUAUUGAAGACUAACUACUGCGAAAGCAUUUGCCAAGGAUGUUUUCAUUAAUCUAAGAACGAAAGUUAGGGAUCGAAGACGAUCAGAUACCGUCGUAGUC